rnacentral:rRNA from 1 species
CUAUCGGAUGAUACUAAGCCAUGCGAGUCAUUGUAGCAAUACAAGGCAGACGGCUCAGUAACGCGUAGUCAACCUACCCUAUGGACGGGAAUAACCUCGGGAAACUGAGUAUAAUGCCCGAUAGAACAUUAUGCCUGGAAUGGUUUAUGUUCCAAAUGAUUUAUCGCCGUAGGAUGGGACUGCGGCCUAUCAGUUUGUUGGUGAGGUAAUGGCCCACCAAGGCGAUUACAGGUACGGGCUCUGAGAGGAGAAGCCCGGAGAUGGGUACUGAGACACGGACCCAGGCCCUAUGGGGCGCAGCAGGCGAGAAAACUUUGCAAUGUGCGAAAGCACGACAAGGUUAAUCCGAGUGAUUUCUGCUAAAGAAAUCUUUUGCCAGUCAUAAAACCACUGGUGAAUAAGGGGUGGGCAAGUUCUGGUGUCAGCCGCCGCGGUAAAACCAGCACCUCAAGUGGUCAGGAUGAUUAUUGGGCCUAAAGCAUCCGUAGCCGGCUUUGUUAGUUUUCGGUUAAAUCCAUGUGCUCAACGCAUGGGCUGCCGAAAAUACUGCAUGGCUAGGGAGUGGGAGAGGUAGACGGUACUCAGUAGGAAGGGGUAAAAUCCUUUGAUCUAUUGAUGACCACCUGUGGCGAAGGCGGUCUACCAGAACACGUUCGACGGUGAGGGAUGAAAGCUGGGGGAGCAAACCGGAUUAGAUACCCGGGUAGUCCCAGCUGUAAACGAUGCAGACUCGAUGAUGCAUUGGCAUAAUAGCCAGUGCAGUGUCGCAGGGAAGCCGUUAAGUCUGCCGCCUGGGAAGUACGUACGCAAGUAUGAAACUUAAAGGAAUUGGCGGGGAGCACCACAAGGG